GGACCAGGGCUAGGGCCAGGGCCAGGGCCAGGCCAUAGUGAGGGCAGGGCAAAAGCCAAGGCAGGGUCAGGGCAGGUCCAGGGCAGGUCCAGGAAGCGGCCAGCACCAAGCGGGGCCAAGGCACAACCAGCGCAGGGUAAGGCAGGGCAAUGGCACCACUGGGCCAUGACAGGGCCAGGUCAGUGCCAGGAGAGGGCAGAACAGGAAGGCCCAUGGUGGGGCCAGGGCAGGGAUGGGCCAAAGCAGAGCCAGGACAUUUCCAAGGCCAGGUCAGGGCCAGAACAGGAGCAGGACCAUGACCACUGGCAGGGCCAGUGCCAUGACAGGACCAGGGUCAGGACAAGGGGCAGGGCCAGAGCCAGGGCCAGAGCCAAGGUCAGGCCAGUGCAGGUUCAGGGCAGGGCCAGUGCCAGGGCAAGACCAGGGCAGGGACAGGGUAGCACGGGGCCAAGACAGGGUCAGGAUGGGACCAGAGCAGGACAGGGCUGAGAGUCCAGGUAACAGUAGGGCAGGUACAGGGCAAGGCAGGGCAGUACAGGGCCAGAUCCACGGCAGGCACAGGGCAAAGCCAGGCCCAUUGCCAAUGCACCAGCCCUCCCUACAAGGCUCCUACCACCUGGCCACUGCUGCAGCCCGUCCAUCG
rnacentral:lncRNA from 1 species